rnacentral:rRNA from 2 species
GAGAUAUGGAGGAACACCAGUGGCGAAGGCGACUUUCUGGUCUGUAACUGACGCUGAUGUGCGAAAGCGUGGGGAUCAAACAGGAUUAGAUACCCUGGUAGUCCACGCCGUAAACGAUGAGUGCUAGGUGUUAGGCCCUUUCCGGGGCUUAGUGCCGCAGCUAACGCAUUAAGCACUCCGCCUGGGGAGUACGACCGCAAGGUUGAAACUCAAAGGAAUUGACGGGGGCCCGCACAAGCGGUGGAGCAUGUGGUUUAAUUCGAAGCAACGCGAAGAACCUUACCAAAUCUUGACAUCCUUUGAAAACUCUAGAGAUAGAGCCUUCCCCUUCGGGGGACAAAGUGACAGGUGGUGCAUGGUUGUCGUCAGCUCGUGUCGUGAGAUGUUGGGUUAAGUCCCGCAACGAGCGCAACCCUUAAGCUUAGUUGCCAUCAUUAAGUUGGGCACUCUAAGUUGACUGCCGGUGACAAACCGGAGGAAGGUGGGGAUGACGUCAAAUCAUCAUGCCCCUUAUGAUUUGGGCUACACACGUGCUACAAUGGACAAUACAAAGGGCAGCUAAACCGCGAGGUCAAGCAAAUCCCAUAAAGUUGUUCUCAGUUCGGAUUGUAGUCUGCAACUCGACUACAUGAAGCUGGAAUCGCUAGUAAUCGUAGAUCAGCAUGCUACGGUGAAUACGUUCCCGGGUCUUGUACACACCGCCCGUCACACCACGAGAGUUUGUAACACCCGAAGUCGGUGAGGUAACCUUUUAGGAGCCAGCCGCCUAAGGUGGGAUAGAUGAUUGGGGUGAAGUCGUAACAAGGUAGCCGUAUCGGAAGGUGCGGCUGGAUCACCUCCUUUCUAAGGA